AUGGCGCAUCUGCGGCUCCACGGCACCAUCAACGCUACCAUCGUGUGGGCCGACAACAUCCACGAUCGCUCCCGCCACACCGGCAUCGUCCCCGGCUUCCUCGGCAAUAUUGUGCAAGGUGUGCAGGAGACGACGGGUUUGGGCAAGGGCCUGUCGCGGAUGUACGCGGCCAUCUACCUCGGCAGCGCGUGCAUCGCGCGAACGCGUACCAUUGCCGUCCCUGCAGCUGGAAGCGCGCAAUGGAACGAGCCACUCCGCGCCUAUUGCGCCCACCACGCCGCCGACGUCGUCAUCUCCGUCAUGAUCGAGCAGCUCGGCCUCAACGACGACACGGUCCUCGGCCGCGCCUACCUGCCCGCCCGGGAGCUCCUCAACAGCAACGGCACAACAAUCGACCGCUGGUUCGACGUCCUUGGCGCGGACAGGAAGAAGCUCCCGGAUGGGCCCAAGAUACAGGUGCAGAUCAGCUUCCGCGAUGUCGCCGACCAAGGCGUGUCAUGGGGCGGUGGCGUCGGCUCCGGCGUGGUUCCCCACACCUUCUUCUCCCAGAGGCCCGGGUGCAGGGUCACCCUGUACCAGGACGCGCACGCGUCUCCGGAGUUCGACCCCAAGAUCCAGCUCGACGGCGGGGGGCUCUACAAGCCCGGGCAUUGCUGGGAAGACAUAUACGACGCCAUCAGCAACGCACGGCACCUGGUGUACAUCACCGCCUGGUCGAUGUUCCCCCACAUCACGCUGGUGCGGGACCGGGACGGCGACCAGGAAACCCUCGGCGAGCUCCUGAAGCGCAAGGGCGGCGAGGGCGUGCACGUGCUCCUGCUCGUGUGGAACGACAUCUCCUCCAUUGAUGGCCUGCACGAGGUCGGCGUCAUGGACACGAGGGACCAGCUCACGGCCAAGUACUUCCGCGGCAGCCGCGUCCAGUGCGUCCUCUGCCCGAGGAACUGGUCCGUCAGAGGCUACAUCAUCGACCCCAAGACGCCCGUCGACACGGUCGUUUACAGUCACCACCAGAAGACCAUCACCGUCGACCAGGAGCUGCCUGAAUCUUCGUCCGGGUCGGACGGGCGCCGCCAGAUCGUUAGCUUCCUCGGCGGCCUCGACAUGUGCAAUGGACGCUACGACACGCAGUCCCACUCCCUGUUCAGGACGCUGGGCACGGGGCAGGCGCACAGCAACGACUUCAGCCAAAUCAACUUCAGCGACGAGGACGCGACGCUUGACAAGGGUGGGCCGAGGACGCCAUGGCACGACAUCCAUGCCAAGGUCGAGGGAGCCGUGGCGUGGGACGUGCUGCACAACUUCGAGCAGCGAUGGAUGAAACAAGGCGGUGGCAAGGAGCACCUGGUCGACCUUGUGGCCCUCGAGAGCAAGGUCGCUCCGUCCUCGUGGCCGGUGACGCUCCCCGGCGACCACGAGGCGUGGAGUGUGCAGCUGUUCCGGUCCAUCGACAGCAUCUCCACCGUCGGCUUCCCCGACUCCAUGGAGGCUGCCUAUGAUGCUGGCCUCGUUCAGGACAAGCACCGAGUGUUCGAGAGGAGCAUCCAGGACGCCUACAUCCACGCCAUACGUGCCGCAAAGAGCUUCAUCUACAUCGAGAACCAGUACUUCGCCGGCAGUUCCUUCCAGUGGAAAACCCACGAUGGCAUAGACCCGGCGGACGUCGGGGCGUGCCAGCAGAUCCCCAGAGAGCUCUCGCUCAAGAUCGUGAGCAAGAUCGAGGCCGGCGAACGCUUCGCGGUCUAUGUCGUGGUGCCCAUGUGGUCGGAAGGCACCCCUACGGGGCGAUACAGGCAGGCGAUGCUGGACAACCAGAGGAGGACGAUGGCCCUGAUGUACGACGACAUCGCCGUUGCGCUGCAGGCCAAGAAGAUCGACGCCAACCCCAGGGACUACCUUACCUUCUUCUGCUUAGGGAACCGGGAGGCCAAGAGGGAGGGCGAGCACGAGCCGGCAAAACGCCCAAAGGAUGGGACGGACUAUGCCAGGGCGCAGAAGGCACGCCGGUUCAUGAUCUACGUUCACUCCAAGAUGAUGAUAGUUGAUGAUGAGUACAUUAUUGUGGGAUCUGCCAACCUCAACGAGCGGUCCAUGGCCGGGGACAGGGACAGCGAGAUCGCCAUCGGUGCCUACCAGCCGCACCGUGUCAACACCGAUGCCGAGCUCGCCAAGGGGCACGUCCAUGGCUUCCGGAUGUCGCUGUGGCACGAGCACCUCGGCAGGACGCACGACGACUUCCUCCGCCCGGGGAGCCUAGAGUGCGUGCGGAGGGUCAACAAGAUGGCCGAUGAGUACUGGAACCUCUACGUCGGCGACCAGCAGCUCACGGACGACCUCCCCGGCCACCUGCUCACCUACCCCGUCGCCGUAAGCAAGGCCGGCACGGUCUCUACGCUCAAGGGUUUUGAAUUCUUCCCUGACACGAAGGCUCGCGUGCUUGGUAAGCCGACUGGAAUAAAUGACUAUUUUAUGAGCAUAUAG
rnacentral:rRNA from 1 species